CGUUCCUCUUGGAGCGGGUCUCUCCAGUUCUGCCUCUCUAGAGGUGGCGAUGUAUACCUUCCUCGAGGCACUUACUGGACGAAAGGCAAAGAGCCUGCGCGAAAAGGCGCUGCAGUGUCAGAAGGCGGAGCACGAGUUUCCCGGAAUGCCCUGCGGCAUUAUGGACCAGUUCAUUUCGGCCAUGGGACGAAAGGACAACGCUCUCCUUAUUGACUGCAGGUCUCUGGAGUCAACUCUAUAGUUCCACUGGCCGACCACCAGGUGGCAGUGCUGAUCACCAACUCCAAUGUUCGCCACACACUGACUGGAUCAGAAUACCCCAGCCGACGACGAGCCUGCUUCAAAACGGCAAAAGUACUCGGCGUCAAAUCACUGCGAGAAGCCACCAUGGAACUCC